GGAGAACACACCCUGUGGGAUGGAGACUCGCUCGGUCCGUGGGCUGAGCACCCCAAGUGCUCGGGGCAGGCAGCAGCAGAGCCCUGUGCUGCACACACCCACAGAGCCCCGGGGCUGGCACUGGCACCAGAGCUCAGCAAUCAACUGUGUGGGCUCAUUACCACUGAGAAUCUAAGGAAAAACCACACAUAACUGUACAAAACAAGCCCAUAUGCUGGAAAACUUCAGCCCAGCUCGCCGUUAGCGAGAGGGCUUUUAAGCUGAUCCAUCGAGCAGAGGCACGGCUCGCUUUCCUGUGCCGCUCACACCUCGGCUCUAGGAGGCGGCGUUCGGUGAAGACCGGGCUCCGGGUGUAUCAGUGUAACUGCUGGAAGGCAGAACCGAGGGACAGAAGUUAAACAGGGGACACACGCCCAGCCGGACGGGGCCGGGAGCGCUGAUGGAGCUGUGGGUGUCCCUGUGCGUUGCAGGGGGUGGGACCUGACGGCCGCCGGGGGUCCCUUCCACUCGAAUCAUUCUAUGGUUCUGUGAUUCUACACGUCCGAUUGUGUAGAGAAAAAAAAAAAAAAAACGAAAAAAAAGGAAUUAGAUCAUAUAAGCACCCCCAAGGAUGAGUUAGGCUGCGGGAACUGUAAGGGUUUUAUAUUUCCUAAAGUAACUCGGUGAAACAGAAAGGAAAAAUAGCGCCUCUCUAUACGGUUAAUCAGUGUUUAACUCUCCUCGGUAUUUUACGGUGGAGUUUGUGUGAUUGACUUUGUUCUGCUGUUUUCUUAAACUCGAAGCAGGUGGGAUUUAUGGCAGCGUGGUGGAGCAGGAGCGGUCCGUGAGCAUCUGGAAAGUCGGGCUCACCGGGGGCGAUGCCAGAAAACCACCGCAGUUAAUUCAUUUUUCAUCAUCUUCUAAACUGAGCUAUUGUGAAAGGAGAAAACCAGGGGCUAUUUCGUAAAGCCUUGAUGACUUAAUUUUCCCUGAGCGUCGGGUUCACGGAGCGCUCACCUUGCUGCUUUGCUUUUACAUAGGGAAAUCAGGUGAUGUUUUACGCUGUGUCCGCAAGUUCUUCUCCUCUGCCACUUCACAGAACCAUAGGAUGGUUGGAGUUGAAGGGACCCCCAAAGGCCACCAGGUCCCACUGCCUGCAGUGCACAGGGACACCCACAGCUCCAUCAGUGCUCACAGCCCCGUGCCCUGACCUCGGGUGUCUGCAGGGACGGGGCACCACCACCUCUCUGGGCACCCUGUGCCAGUGCCUCACAGCCCUUAGUGUAAAAACUUCUUCCUUAAAUCCAAUCUAAAUCUCUCCACUUUGAGUUUGAAGCCGUUUCCCCUUGUCCUGUCACACAGACCCUGCUGAAGGUUCUGUCCCUCCUGUCUCAGCCCCUCUGGGUACAGGUGGCACACACCGGGCGCUGCCUGGCCGCCCGCCACCAGCACAAGGGGUUAAACAUCUCCUGCCAUCCCACAGCAGCGCUGCUCCGGGAUCACAUGGACAAAAGGGCCGAUUUAAUCCCGGCUGCAGACGACUCACAUUGUGCUCCCAGACUUCGAGCAAUGUCAGGCUAUCGGGUUUCCCACUCAUAUCCAAGGCACAGCCCGAGCGCAGACGGGGAACAAAGACCUCUUUGUUACCGGGAAAAAAAAAUCCCCCGAAGAUAUUAACAGCGCAGCAGAGUUCAAACUGUUAAAUGAUUCAAAUAUUAUUUAAUGAAUACAUUUGAAAUGAGGUCUCACAACCCA